AAAUAAGAAACAAAUAUUUGUAUUUAGUUUCGACCUAAAAUUUAGACUAUUAAGUCCUUAUUUU
rnacentral:tRNA from 1 species